rnacentral:rRNA from 1 species
UACGGAGGGGGCUAGCGUUGUUCGGAAUUACUGGGCGUAAAGAGCGCGCAGGCGGUCGAUCAAGUCGCGUGUGAAAGCCCCCGGCUCAACUGGGGAGGGUCACGCGAUACUGAUCGACUCGAAGGCAGGAGAGGGUAGUGGAAUUCCCGGUGUAGUGGUGAAAUGCGUAGAUAUCGGGAGGAACACCAGUGGCGAAGGCGACUACCUGGCCUGUUUCUUGACGCUGAGGCGCGAAAGCUAGGGGAGCAAACGGG